rnacentral:rRNA from 1 species
GAUGAACGCUGGCGGCGUGCCUAAUACUUGCAAGUCGAGCGAACGGACGAGAAGCUUGCUUCUCUGAUGUUAGCGGCGGACGGGUGAGUAACACGUGGAUAACCUACCUAUAAGACUGGGAUAACUUCGGGAAACCGGAGCUAAUACCGGAUAAUAUUUUGAACCGCAUGGUUCAAAAGUGAAAGACGGUCUUGCUGUCACUUAUAGAUGGAUCCGCGCUGCAUUAGCUAGUUGGUAAGGUAACGGCUUACCAAGGCAACGAUGCAUAGCCGACCUGAGAGGGUGAUCGGCCACACUGGAACUGAGACACGGUCCAGACUCCUACGGGAGGCAGCAGUAGGGAAUCUUCCGCAAUGGGCGAAAGCCUGACGGAGCAACGCCGCGUGAGUGAUGAAGGUCUUCGGAUCGUAAAACUCUGUUAUUAGGGAAGAACAUAUGUGUAAGUAACUGUGCACAUCUUGACGGUACCUAAUCAGAAAGCCACGGCUAACUACGUGCCAGCAGCCGCGGUAAUACGUAGGUGGCAAGCGUUAUCCGGAAUUAUUGGGCGUAAAGCGCGCGUAGGCGGUUUUUUAAGUCUGAUGUGAAAGCCCACGGCUCAACCGUGGAGGGUCAUUGGAAACUGGAAAACUUGAGUGCAGAAGAGGAAAGUGGAAUUCCAUGUGUAGCGGUGAAAUGCGCAGAGAUAUGGAGGAACACCAGUGGCGAAGGCGACUUUCUGGUCUGUAACUGACGCUGAUGUGCGAAAGCGUGGGGAUCAAACAGGAUUAGAUACCCUGGUAGUCCACGCCGUAAACGAUGAGUGCUAAGUGUUAGGGGGUUUCCGCCCCUUAGUGCUGCAGCUAACGCAUUAAGCACUCCGCCUGGGGAGUACGACCGCAAGGUUGAAACUCAAAGGAAUUGACGGGGACCCGCACAAGCGGUGGAGCAUGUGGUUUAAUUCGAAGCAACGCGAAGAACCUUACCAAAUCUUGACAUCCUUUGACAACUCUAGAGAUAGAGCUUUCCCCUUCGGGGGACAAAGUGACAGGUGGUGCAUGGUUGUCGUCAGCUCGUGUCGUGAGAUGUUGGGUUAAGUCCCGCAACGAGCGCAACCCUUAAGCUUAGUUGCCAUCAUUAAGUUGGGCACUCUAAGUUGACUGCCGGUGACAAACCGGAGGAAGGUGGGGAUGACGUCAAAUCAUCAUGCCCCUUAUGAUUUGGGCUACACACGUGCUACAAUGGACAAUACAAAGGGCAGCGAAACCGCGAGGUCAAGCAAAUCCCAUAAAGUUGUUCUCAGUUCGGAUUGUAGUCUGCAACUCGACUACAUGAAGCUGGAAUCGCUAGUAAUCGUAGAUCAGCAUGCUACGGUGAAUACGUUCCCGGGUCU